UAGGGAAUCUUCGGCAAUGGACGAAAGUCUGACCGAGCAACGCCGCGUGAGUGAAGAAGGUUUUCGGAUCGUAAAACUCUGUUGUUAGAGAAGAACAAGGACGUUAGUAACUGAACGUCCCCUGACGGUAUCUAACCAGAAAGCCACGGCUAACUACGUGCCAGCAGCCGCGGUAAUACGUAGGUGGCAAGCGUUGUCCGGAUUUAUUGGGCGUAAAGCGAGCGCAGGCGGUUUCUUAAGUCUGAUGUGAAAGCCCCCGGCUCAACCGGGGAGGGUCAUUGGAAACUGGGAGACAUGAGUGCAGAAGAGGGGAGUGGAAUUCGAUGUGUAGCGGUGAAGUGCGUAGAUAUAUGGAGGAACACAAGUGGCGAAGGCGGCGCUCUGGACUGUAACUGACGCUGUGGCACGAAAGCGUGGGGAGCAAACAGG
rnacentral:rRNA from 1 species